UAAAUGCUAAAAAAAUAGAGGAAUUCAUUUUCCAUAAUGAACAUCACCAACCUGUAAUGAUCAAGUCCUUCUCCUCCUUUUCUGAUCAUGGCCUGCUUCCAUCUGUGCCAUUUUCCAAAUUUAUCCAAAGGAGAUAUUUUUAUAAACUGUAGACUUUUCAACUCUUGAAAAGGGCGCAUGCUUGAAAUCAAACAUCCCUUUGUGGACACUUCAACUGUGCAACCUUACCAAGUACUCCCAUCCUGCCACGUAGAGAUCACCAUCCCAUUUUACAGACACACAUCUGAAACCAUUCAUUGUCAAACUCCUCAGCAGAGGCUUGAUCCUCAUAGCCCUUUCCUCAUCUGUGAUAGAAUUGUGAAAAAGUUCCAUUUUGUGCAGGCCUUGUA